rnacentral:rRNA from 1 species
UACGUAGGUGGCAAGCGUUGUCCGGAAUUAUUGGGCGUAAAGCGCGCGCAGGCGGUUCCUUAAGUCUGAUGUGAAAGCCCCCGGCUCAACCGGGGAGGGUCAUUGGAAACUGGGGAACUUGAGUGCAGAAGAGGAGAGCGGAAUUCCACGUGUAGCGGUGAAAUGCGUAGAGAUGUGGAGGAACACCAGUGGCGAAGGCGGCUCUCUGGUCUGUAACUGACGCUGAGGCGCGAAAGCGUGGGGAGCGAACAGGAUUAGAUACCCUGGUAGUCCACGCCGUAAACGAUGAGUGCUAAGUGUUAGAGGGUUUCCGCCCUUUAGUGCUGCAGCAAACGCAUUAAGCACUCCGCCUGGGGAGUACGGCCGCAAGGCUGAAACUCAA